GAUGAACGCUGGCGGCGUGCCUAAUACAUGCAAGUCGAGCGAACGGACGAGAAGCUUGCUUCUCUGAUGUUAGCGGCGGACGGUUGCGUAACACGUGGAUAACCUACCUAUAAGACUGGGAUAACUUCGGGAAACCGGAGCUAAUACCGGAUAAUAUUUUGAACCGCAUUGUUCAAAAGUGAAAGACGGUCUGGCUGUCACUUAUAGAUGGAUCCGCGCUGCAUUAGCUAGUGGGUAAGGUAACGGCUUACCAAGGCAACGAUGCAUAGCCGACCUGAGAGGGUGAUCGGCCACCCUGGAACUGAGACACGGUCACGACUACUACGGGAGGCAGCAGUAUGGAAUCUUACGCAAUGGGCGAAAUCCUGACGGAGCAACGCCGCGUGAGUGAUGAAGGUCUUCGGAUCGUAAAACUCUGUUAUUAGGGAAGAACAUAUGUGUAAGUAACUGUGCACAUCUUGACGGUACCUAAUCAGAAAGCCACGGCUAACUACGUG
rnacentral:rRNA from 1 species